CUCAUAUUCCACACGUGUUUUCUAAAAUGGGUCAGGAUAAGAAAGCACAAUGCUUCAACUCAAGAGGUUGUCCUCCAUGUAGGGUCUCUAUCUAUGGACUAACUUCCAUUCCAUUGUCAAAGUUCAUUCCAGAACUUCAAAGUCAACCAGAGAAGGACAACAGAAGACCAGAAGAUCAACUGGUGGAGAUACAGAUUCAUGAGCUGGAAGAAGAGGGAACAGAGCUUGAAGACUUUCAACAAGACAAUGAACCAAUCCCAGAAGGGAUCCUUGUUGCUAAAAUAUGGAGCUUCUUACACGAUACUAUCAGAAAUACUGACGUGAGCUAUAAUUUGGUUGACAAGUCUGUUGUGUCAACAAUGACACUUGAUAGUGGAAUGUUUACACUCACAACGGCAUGGAGUUUGGAAGAGAAAUUGUUCAAGAAUCUGAAGAAGAUACUCCUCCUUCAAGUCAACCUUGACUCCUACUGAGCUGGAUGGCCAACUAUCUCCUUAACUAAGAAGAUGGAAGCUGUUUGCCUUGGUUUCCUUCUGGAUGCGAUCUUGACUUCCCAGCCUAGUCUUCUUUAUUUAUUACGGAUUUAUGUCUUGAAUUGAUUAAAAUUCAAAACCGCUU